UGGCUUGUGGGGGGCGGAAAGGGCACAGGUGUGAGCCGCCUCGGGAUACGCCCACCAAAUUAAUAUGGGGAGGAGCUUAUUGAGGGCCUAGGUGUGGGAUGAAUUAUCUUCCGUCUUCUGAAGAUGCAAGGGACACGUAGGCAUUACCGACACUUAAAAAAUGGGGAAACGGACACUAAGUCUUUUUCAGGAAAUGGAUUAUUAUCCCUAAAAAAACUGAGGUUCAGACAUGAGAUAUGAUUGGCAGAAAAGUCAAGAGCAAAGUUAAGAAUAAGCUCUCAAAGGCCUAAAGGGGUCAGCCUGUCUCAUUUUAGGUCAUCUCUAGAUGAAGAUUUUCCCUUCACUCUAAGGAUCCAGUAUUGACCCCGAAAAUUAAUGUUGUCCUCUUGGAAGCUUUCACUGAACUCAAUUUCAGCCCGGCUACCCUCAGACUCCCAGUAAAAUAACUGUUGUCCAUGGAAUGUUAUCAUCUUCAUGUUGUGCAUGUCACGGAUCUGAAAGGAAAAAAGAAUAUGAGUGCGUCAGCUCAUAUGGAAGCAGUUUUUGGUCAAGAUCUCUUUAUUCUGUAACCCAUUUAAAAAAAAAACAAUGUAACCAGAUGUUGUGGAGCUACAAAGAAUUAAAAUCAAAGAGUUAUAAUAAAAAUUCAAGGGUUUUUGUUUUUGCUUUUUGGCUUUUUCUCAUGUUUAGAAAAGAGAUGGUAUGGUGUAGUGCUAGGGCAGCUAGGUGGCACAAUGAAUAGAGUGCAAGGCUCAGAGUCAGGAAAACCUGAGUUCAAGUUUUAUCUCAAACAUUUCAUAGCUGUUGACCCUAGGCAAAUCAUUUAAUCCAGUUUGGCUCAGUUUCUUCAUCUGUAAAAUGAUCUAGGAAAGGAAAUAGCAAACCACUCCAGUAUGUUUGCUAAGGAAAUUCCCAAGAAUGGCUGAGCAAAUUGUGGUAUCUUAUGGUGAUGGAAUACUACCAUGCUGUAAGAAAUGACGAAUUAGAGGAUUUCUAUAUGAUCUGGAAGAACCUCCACAAAUUGAUGCAGAGUGAAAUGAGCAGAAUCAGAACAUUAUACACAGAAAGUGAAACAUUGUGGAACAAUCCAAUGUAAGGGGCUCUGCUACUUGUAGCAAUGCAUUGAUCCAGGACACUCCUAAAGGACUUAUGAGAAAGAAUGCUAUCCACAUUGAGAGAAAGAACUGUGGGAGUAGAAACACAGAAGAAAAGCCUAUUACUUAUCAUUCGUUUAUAGGGCUAUAUGAUUUGGAUUUUUGGUUUUAAAAGACUGCUUUAUUGCAAAAAUGAAUAAUAUGGAAAUAAGUAUGUGAUAGCAUUUGUAUAACCCAGUAGAAGGGCUUAUUGGCUCUGGGAUGGGGAAGGGGGAAAACGAAGGGAAAGAAAAUGAAUCAUGUAAACAUGGAAAAAUAGGUUUUUAAUUUUAAAAAAUAAAUCCCCCAAAAGGUCACAAAGAUUCAGACAUAACUGAAUAACUAAAUAACAUGAUGUGUAGUGCUAAAGAGCCAGCCUCAAAGCUAAGAAUAUCUCAGUUAAGUCUUGCCUCUGACCCAAUAUGGCUACAAGACUUUUGGAAAGUUAUUUAACUUUUUAGUGCCUAGGCGAUCUCUAAGACUAAAAGUUGCAGAGAAGCUAUAAGGCUGCUUUGGUACAAGAAAUUUCCUCACCUAUGAAAUCACAGGUUCAAUCCCUAGUCCCUUAAAUAGUAACUUAGAAACAUAUCCUAAAGCAGGAAGAGAAGUCCCUGGUCCCAAGAAUAGCAUUGUCAAAUGUAAACAAAUUUCUCCUUAAUAAAAAAAAAAUUUUUUUUAAACCACUUUGGGGACAGCCAGGUGGCUUAGAAUUUUGAAAGCCAGGCUUAGAGACAGGAGGUCCUGGGUUCAAAUUUGAACUCAAACACUUGCUAGCUGUGUGACCCUGAGCAAGUCACUUGCCAAGACCUUGCCACUCUUCUGCCUUGGAACCAAUAUGCAAUAUUGAUUCUAAGAGAAAAGGUAAGGGUUUUUUAAAAAAGCACAUGCAGAUGCAGAAUAUCUGAGUUUAAAUAACAAGCUCUGCAUGUGACUUUGGGAAAGCCAUUUCACUUCCCUUGACUUCAGUUUUCUCAUCUAUAAAAUGGGAUUGGGGACAGGUUGGGCUAGUUGGCUUCUUGAGAUCUCUUCUGGCUCUAAAUCUUAUGUUUUUUCUUCAUUAAUUUUAUCAGAGGAAGGUACUCUGAAAAGUAGGGAAUUUCAUGUCUCGGUUGAACACAGUAAAUUUUUAAAUCUAAAGCAUGCAUUAGAAAGCUUUUCUGGCAUAUACUAACAAUUGCUAUGAAAUGCUAAACUUUAUUUGAAUUACUUAGAUGAGACUCUUUAGACACCUCUCAAAACAUGAGAAAAUACUUUUGAAAAGGCUUCCAGAAAGACUUCUUGGACUUCUUUUUAAUAUACUCUCCAUUGCUACUAAAUAUUUAAUGGUCCUAGCAGUCAGCUUUUUUUGUUGAAAAUUAACUUUCUAGCCAGAGGUACAAGAAAUUCACACUAAGCCCCUACAAUCUUUUAAUCUCUUAGUAAAUUUAAGUGUUAUUUUUGUAAUGUUUUGCAUUUUUUCUGUUAUGAAUCAGGAUUGUUGUAAUAUUUCUACUCUAGUAUCUAGACUAAUAUUUUGGACAUUAUUAUUGUUUUUAUUUAAAAUGACUUGACAACUCUGCCUCAGGUUUGGGGGUAGGAUGGGGAACAUCUAUCAAUAUCCAUGCUAAAAGGAAUAUUUUUUUUCUGCAGUACUAAUUUGAGUGUAUAUUUUAGGGACUGGGAUUAAAGGGAUGCUACUUUAGAGACUUCAUUCUUGGUCUUUUUUUUUUUUAUGAAAAAAAUUAACAAGGUUUUUAUAACACUAAGUGUCAAAUAAGUUAAGUCUUUCCACUUUGAACAGAGAAUAAUUAGCCAUGUUUUUCAACUUUUUAUUUUUUAGAACUUGUUUGUUUUACUGUAUUUUUUGCACUUUAUAACAAAAAAAGUGAAUACAAGUUACAUUGAAACAUUAGGUGAUCUUUAUUUUAUUUUAUUUUAUUUUAUUUUUAUUUUUUAUGACUGAAACCAACAGAAUGGUUCAAUUUGUCAUCAGUGUUAUUCACAUUGUAUCUAUAGUUAUCUUUCCAAAUAAUUGUAUUGACUUAGUGGAGAUUGUAUGUUAAAUGUAUCAGGUUGUGAAAUUGUGUAGUUUAGGUAAACACUAAAUCCAUUUAUUUUUGUAUGGCAGAAUUUUAGAAUUAGAAUUAUGUAGACCAUAUUAGAUGUUAAAGAUUAUACAAUAAAGGACUUGGCAAAUCAAAAAAAAAAAAAAA